rnacentral:rRNA from 1 species
AUUGAACGCUAGCGGCAUGCUUUACACAUGCAAGUCGAACGAGUGGCGGACGGGUGAGUAAUAUAUCUGAACGUGCUCAGUAGCGGGGGAUAAUUACCCGUAAGAAUGGCUAAUACCGCAUACUUUUUGAGCGGCCGUUAUGGGUUUAGCUAGGUGGUUGGGUAAAGGCCCACCAAGGCAACGAUCCGUAGCUGGUUUGAGAGGACGACCAGCCACACUGGGACUGAGACACGGCCCAGACUCCUACGGGAGGCAGCAGUGGGGAAUUUUGGACAAUGGGGGGAACCCUGAUCCAGCCAUCCCGCGUGUAUGAGAAGGCCUUCGGGUUGUAAAGUACUUUUGGCAGAGAAGCGGUAUCUGAAGAAUAAGCACCGGCUAACUACGUGCCAGCAGCCGCGGUAAUAG